GGUUACGGGCCUAGUGGAGGUGGGUAAACAGCAGAUGUGAUGUAUCUUGGUGUUAGAUCCUGCCUUGGGCUUGGAGAGUGAGAAGAAGGGCGAGGGACGACACUGAACAUCCACCAUCCGUCUCUCCAUCACCUAGAGCAAGACGGCCAGGCUCCUGAGGAUGUUCAGGAAGAAGGCUCUGCAGGUGGCCCCAGAGCCUGAGGGAAGCAGCUGCCAUCUUCCCCAGGAGCAGAGCAGCCCCUCUGUCCCCGCUGGCUGAGAAGGAGCUCUCGGCUGGGCCAGGAGGUGGAAGUGCCCAGCCUUCUGGCAGAGGAAACCCGCUCCCGGCGGAGGCACCGAGGUGGCAGAGGCAGUGGCCAGGCCCCAGUGGAGCUGGGCCAGGAUGCGGCUGGGCAGGCAGGACCCAGCCCAGGAGUGGAACCGGGCAGGGUGGCUCUGGGGCUCAUUGUGUGGGCAGCAGCGGCCCCAGGAGCCCAGCCCUGAUUCCCAGCACGAGGCAUAGCCCUGCCCGGUCACUGAGGACCUUCCAGCAUUCCCAGGGCAGAAGGUGGAAGAUCCCUGUCCCAGCACCAGCAGCUCGGCCCGCUCCCCAUAGGACAGCAGCAGUGCCUGGGACUUGAGCAGCAGCCAGGCCGAUGGAUGCCGCUGCUUUGUUCCAGGGACCGCCAGGGUCUCAGAGGACGAGGAGGAGG